UUUAAAUUAAUAAAUAUUUUUAAAUAGACUCAUUUACUAUAACAUUAAUAAGACAUUUUGCCUCAUUAGUGUAGAUAAAAAAAUCAUUU